GCGGGAUUAGCUCAGUUGGUAGAGCGCUACCUUGCCAUGGUAGAGGUCGCGAGUUCGAGUCUCGUUUCCCGCUCCA
rnacentral:tRNA from 3 species